rnacentral:lncRNA from 1 species
UUAAAUAGUCACCAAUUGGUACCAAUAGCUCUGUAAUAAUUUGUUCUCAUUUCAGUUUCCCAAACUGAAGAGCUCUUCCUCGGUCCUUUCUUAUCUAGAACCCAUAAGUUCAAGAGAUUCAGAGAAUUUUCUAUUAGUGCUGUGAUCUUUGCCAGCCGUAGUUUAGUCUACAAUUUGAUCUAUUCUGGGGUGUAAGUACUUGUUAAUGGGUUUUGAAGGCCAGAAUAAUAAAUAAUGCUUAGGAAUCUUUUAUAACAGGCCUGGAAUAGAUUUUUAAAGCAAACUGAGGUAGAUUUUCAACAUGUGUAUAAGGUACAUAUAUUCUGUUCUGGCAGAAACCAGAACAGUUCUGGUGGAAAAUUUUCUUUUUUCAUUCAAUAAAUAAUUAGAUAUGCAAAAUAUGUGAUGUUUAAACAUGUUUACCCUAAUGGGAUAGUCUUUAACCAAAGGGAUGGAUAUUUUAUUUUAUUUAUUUUUUUCGUCAAAAAGCAGAUAAAUGCCUUUCUUGAGUUUCUGAUCCUGAAAACAGCUUGCUAUAGGUCCUUAAGGCAAAUGCCAGGAGUCAAAGAAACUGUAGAACAGUAAUAAGACCUCUGCAGAGCAUGCUCAGCUCGAUGUCACAUUCCAGAAUAGCCACUGUUGGUUUCUUUUUCAAAAUCGUCCAUGUUUACAUGCUUCACAAAUAUCCCU